rnacentral:rRNA from 1 species
AACGAACGCUGGCGGCAUGCCUAACACAUGCAAGUCGAACGAGACCUUCGGGUCUAGUGGCGCACGGGUGCGUAACGCGUGGGAACCUGCCCUUAGGUUCGGAAUAACUCCCCGAAAGGGGUGCUAAUACCGGAUAAUGUCUUCGGACCAAAGAUUUAUCGCCUUUGGAUGGGCCCGCGUUGGAUUAGCUAGUUGGUAGGGUAAAAGCCUACCAAGGCGACGAUCCAUAGCUGGUCUGAGAGGAUGAUCAGCCACACUGGGACUGGGACACGGCCCAGACUCCUACGGGAGGCAGCAGUGGGGAAUAUUGGACACUGGGCGAAAGCCUAAUCCAGCAGUGCCGCGGAAGUGAUGAAGGCCUUAGGGUUGUGAAGCUCUCUUACCCGGGAUGAUAAUGACAGUACCGGGAGAAUAAGCACCGGCUAACUCCGUG